rnacentral:rRNA from 1 species
UACAGAGGGUGCGAGCGUUAAUCGGAAUUACUGGGCGUAAAGCGUGCGUAGACGGUUAUGUAAGUCAGGUGUGAAAGCCCCGGGCUCAACCUGGGAAUUGCAUUUGAGACUGCAUAGCUAGGGUGCGGAAGAGGGGAGCGGAAUUUCCGGUGUAGCGGUGAAAUGCGUAGAUAUCGGAAGGAACAUCAGUGGCGAAAGCGGCUUCCUGGUCCAGCACCGACGUUCAGGCACGAAAGCGUGGGGAGCAAACAGG